rnacentral:rRNA from 1 species
UAUGAAUGGUGUCACGAGGGUCUCACUGUCUUAAGGAAAUUUCCAGUGAAAUUGAAUUUGUAGUGAAGAUGCUACAUCCAAAUUGUUAGACAAGAAGACCCCAUGAAACUUUACUGGAAACUUAUGUGGCGGACUUAAAUAGUUUAAAAAUGUGGUGCGGGUCAACUAAGGCUAGAAAAGCGCACUUUUUUAUUUGAAGAAAGGCAACUCACGAACUUAUGUUUUUGGGGUUUGAUAAGUGGGACAGUUUGGUUGGGGCGACCGCCUUUAAAAAAGUAACGAAGGCGGGCUUAAGAUACAUAUUUAAUUGUGUCUGACUGCCAGGGGGAGACCCAAAGCAGACACUUAUCUUUGGAUGGUGGGUUUAAGUGACCCGUUAAUUUAGGGUGAAAUAGUUAACGAUAAACAGAUAAAAG